ensembl:lncRNA
CGAAAGAAAAUGGGAUUUUUCAAACAUGUUGUAAAAACGUGCCAUAUGAUGAAAUAAUGUAAAGGAGGCCGUGAAAAACACUCCAGAAAGGUUUUCUUUGAAAAAAAAAUCAUCAUGAAUUUUGGCGCAAAAAAAACGCCUUACUAUACUAUGUCGAAAAAAAAUGCAAUUUUUUAAACAGGUUGUAAAAACAUGUCAUAUGAUGAAAUAAUGUAAAGGAGGCCGUGAAAAACACUCCAGAAAGGUUUUCUUUGAAAAAAAAAAUCAGUAUGAAUUUUGGCGCAAAAAAACGCCUUACUAUACUAUGUCGAAAGAAAAUGGGAUUUUUCAAACAUGUUGUAAAAACGUGCCAUAUGAUGAAAUAAUGUAAAGGAGGCCGUGAAAAACACUCCAGAAAGGUUUUCUUUGAAAAAAAAAUCAUCAUGAAUUUUGGGGCAAAAUGUCGAAAAAAAAUGCAAUUUUUCAAACAUGUUUUAAAAACGUGUCAUAUGAUGAAAUAAUGUAAAGGAGGCCGUGAAAAACACUCCAGAAAAGUUUUCUUUGCAAAAAAAAAUCUGCAUGAAUUUUGGCACAAAAAAAAACGCCUUACUAUACUAUGUCAAAAAAAAUGGGAUUUUUCAAACAUGUUGUAAAAAUGUGCCAUAUGAAGAAAUAAUGUAAAGGAGGCCGUGAAAAACACUCCAGAAAGGUUUUCUUUUAAAAAAAAAUCAUCAUGAAUUUUUGCGCAAAAAAACGCCUUACUAUACUAUGUCGAAAAAAAUGCAAUUUUUCAAACAUGUUUUAAAAACGUGUCAUAUGAUGAAAUAAUGUAAAGGACGCCAUGAAAAACACUCCAGAAAGGUUUUCUUUGAAAAAAAAAAUCAGUAUGAAUUUUGGCGCAAAAAAACGCCUUACUAUACUAUGUCGAAAGAAAAUGGGAUUUUUCAAACAUGUUGUAAAAACGUGCCAUAUGAUGAAAUAAUGUAAAGGAGGCCGUGAAAAACACUCCAGAAAGGUUUUCUUUGAAAAAAAAAUCAUCAUGAAUUUUGGCGCAAAAAAAACGCCUUACUAUACUAUGUCGAAAAAAAAUGCGAUUUUUCAAACAUGUUUUAAAAACGUGUCAUAUGAUGAAAUAAUGUAAAGGAGGCCGUGAAAAACACUCCAGAAAAGUUUUCUUUGCAAAAAAAAAUCUGCAUGAAUUUUGGCACAAAAAAAACGCCUUACUAUACUAUGUCAAAAAAAAUGGGAUUUUUCAAACAUGUUGUAAAAAUGUGCCAUAUGAAGAAAUAAUGUAAAGGAGGCCGUGAAAAACACUCCAGAAAGGUUUUCUUUUAAAAAAAAAUCAUCAUGAAUUUUUGCGCAAAAAAACGCCUUACUAUACUAUGUCGAAAAAAAUGCAAUUUUUCAAACAUGUUUUAAAAACGUGUCAUAUGAUGAAAUAAUGUAAAGGACGCCGUGAAAAACACUCCAGAAAG